rnacentral:rRNA from 1 species
CAUGCAGUCGAGGGGUAACAGGAGAAAGCUUGCUUUCUCGCUGACGACCGGCGAACGGGUGCGUAACACGUAUGUAACCUACCUAUAACAGGAGAAUAGCCUACUGAAAAGUGGAUUAAUGCUCCAUAAUAUACAUUAAAGGCAUCUUUUUUGUAUUAAAGCUCCGGCGGUUAUAGAUGGACAUGCGGAACAUUAGCUUGUUGGUGAGGUAACGGCUCACCAAGGCAACGAUGUUUAGGGGGUCUUAGAGGAUGAUCCCCCACACUGGUACUGAGACACGGACCAGACUCCUACGGGAGGCAGCAGUGAGGAAUAUUGCGCAAUGGAGGAAACUCUGACGCAGCCAUGCCGCGUGCAGGAAGAAGGCCUUAUGGGUUGUAAACUGCUUUUAUAUGCCAAGAAAACCUAGUACGUGUACUAGACUGACGGUAGCAUAUGAAUAAGGAUCGGCUAACUCCGUGCCAGCAGCCGCGGUAAUACGGAGGAUCCAAGCGUUAUCCGGAUUUAUUGGGUUUAAAGGGUUCGUAGGCGGAAGAUUAAGUCAGUGGUGAAAUCCUACAGCUCAACUGUAGAACUGCCAUUGAUACUGGUUUUCUUGAGUACAAAUGAGGUGGGCGGAAUGUGGCAUGGAGCGGUGAAAUGUAUAGAUAUGCCACAGAACACCAAUUGCGAAGGCAGCUCACUAAAAUGUAACUGACGCUGAGGAACGAAAGCGUGGGGAG